CGGUAAUUCCAGCUCCAAUAGCGUAUACUAAAGUUGUUGCAGUUAAAAAGCUCGUAGUUGGAUUUCUGCGGGGACGGAGCGGCCGGUCGCAACUUGCGACUCGAGCUAGCGCUUUCCCCGCAUCCUGCCGCGAACCGUGCUACCAUUAGCCUGGUGGCGCUGGGGAUCGGCUCGAUUACUUUGAGAAAAAUAGAGUGUUCAAAGCAGGCCACACGCCUUGAAUAAGUUAGCAUGGAAUAAUGACUAAGGACUUCGGUUCUAUUUUGUUGGUGUUCGGGACUGAAGCAAUGAUUGAUAGGGACAGUUGGGGCGGUCUGUAUUCCAAAGCGAGAGGUGAAAUUCUUAGACCUUCGGAAGACAAACAGCUGCGAAAGCGUUCCGCAAGGAUGUUCCCUUUGAUCAAGAACGAAAGUUGGGGGAUCGAAGACGAUCAGAUACCGUCGUAGUCUCAACUAUAAACUAUACCAGCUAGGGAUCGGUCAACGUUUAAUCAUUCGACUUGAUCGGCACCUUAUGAGAAAUCAAAGCAUCUGGGUUCCGGGGGGAGUAUGGUCGCAAGGCUGAAACUUAAAGGAAUUGACGGAAGGGCACCACCAGCCGUGGAGCCUGUGGCUUAAUUUGACUCAACACGGGAAAACUUACCAGGUCCAGACAUAGUAAGGAUUGACAGAUUGAUAGCUCUUUCUUGAUUCUGUGGGUGGUGGUGCAUGGCCGUUCUUAGUUGGUGGAGUGAUUUGUCUGGUUAAUUCCGUUAACGAACGAGACCCCAGCCUGCUAAAUAGCGCGGCUGAGCUUUGCUCGGUGCGAGCUUCUUAGAGGGACUAUGAUGCGCGAUAGCACAUGGAAGUUUGGGGCAAUAACAGGUCUGUGAUGCCCUUAGAUGUUCUGGGCCGCACACGGGCUACACUGGCGCCUGCAACGAGCAUAUCAGCUGGCCCGAGAGGGUCUUGGCUAAUCUUUUGAACCGGCGCCGUGCUUGGGAUUGACCAUUGCAAUUGUUGGUCAUGCAACGAGGAAUGCCUUGUAAACGCGAGUCAUCAGCUCGCAUUGAAUACGUCCCUGCCCUUUGUACACACCGCCCGUCGCUCCUACCGAUGAAUGUUCCGAUGAAAUUUUCGGAGAGCGCCAGAGAACGGGGCUCCGCCUUGCAGAUCUGGAGGCUCAAAGUCACUUAAAUCUGAACAUUUCGAGGAAGGAGAAGUCGUAACAAGGUAACC
rnacentral:rRNA from 1 species